GCCGUACUAGAGAAAUGGUAACUCGUCGGAUUCCUAUUGUGAAAGCAAUAUCCGAAGAUUCCGGGUUCAAGUCCCGGGUGCGGCC